ACAGGAUGUGACCAGACACAGCUGUGACAUCGUUCCUUCUUCCACCCAUGCACUGUCCUUGAGGUGAAGGCCACCAGAGAACAGUUUUUGUUUCUUGAUGCAAGGGGCAGUGGCAGCUAGCAAGAAGACACAGCUCCCACUGUGGCCUGAGGGGUUCAUUUAAUCCCCUGGUGACAGUGACGCAGAUGAAACCAGAGCUGACAUCUCUCUUCAGGAAAGGAUUUCAAGACAAGCUCCACCACGCAAUGCUUUUCCAAAUGUGUGAAGACAUGCAAGGUCAUGCUAUGCUACCUAUGUAAUGAAACUUUCCCAUGAGGGUGGCAAGGACAUGAAGCAAGAACUCAGGCCACAAUCCUAUGACAAGUAGUGGGACUGUGACGGUAACCCUGAGGUAGCGCUCUGAAGAUCCACUAUUUCAAGUGAAAAUUGGUCGUGAGGUCCAGCAGCCCAAGGAAUACUAAAAAUGUUCUACCAGAGUCUAAUGAAUCACGGAAGUUGUCCAUGACUUUGCUCUGUGGUUCAGUCAAAGAACAUCACUGGGCACAGCGGUGUAAAUGGUAGAUCGGCCUGACUGAGUUCUCUGUACUCCGUGAUUGUUCUCCACGAGCCACCUGGCUUCUUCACAAACCGUACUGGGAUUUGAAAGGGCCUUUGGCUGGGCCUACGUCUGAUACUCGGUACCGUGGCAGCGCGGGUGCUGUCAUCAAAGAGUCACACAGAUGAUACCGUCAUCUUAGACCUCCAUCCUCUCUAUCUGGGAAAGAAUGCAUCCCUGUGGUUUAAGCUGCCCAGCUGUGGCAGCUUCACUUUUCCUGUCUACCUACUAGAUCCUGAGGCUCAGCGCAACUGUGGAAUUCCCACCUAAAAGAUGCUGACGUGGCCACCCGCUGAUCCCAAGUGAACACAAAACAGAACCUAUAGUGGUGCAUAAUGCACCCAUUGGUUCCCUCUUGGAGCUAUAAGGACAAGAAACAUUCACACAACGGCACAAAGCGAAGACUCGCUGUAGUUAGUGAUGGGUUUGUUCCCAGGUUUCGGCACCAUAUGAAGGGGGUCAUAAAAAAAGAGAGAAAGGGGUUUAGAGAGUGUGGCAUGGCAAUGUGGAGGAAGGGGGUACCUAGGGGGGCCAUGCCCAGGAACCUCUUCCCCCUGAGGGACCACACGCACACAGACAUGGUAUAGAAUAGAGUUUAUUCAGGGCAGAGGAUGGGAGUUAGAGGGAGAGAGAGAGAGAGAGGAAGAGAGAGAAGAGAGAGAAGAGAGUGGAGAAGUGGAGGCUGGCCAUGACCACUUGGGGGAGGGGAGGAGAGCCCAAGAGGGGCAGAGAGGUGAGAGUGCCAAGAGGCUAGAGCGAUGAGAGAGAGAGGAGGGGCAAGUAGCUCCUUUUAUAGUGGGCCAGGUCUAUGGGGCGGGACACACCUGGCUGUUGCCAGGUAAGUGUGGGGUGGAGCUUAGACAGAAUACUAACAGUUAGUGUCCAAUGACUCACCUGUGUGCACUUCAGUAGCUCUGUAUUCCUUCAGAGGUGUGUAGACUGACCUAGGAACUCAAGCCUGAUAGAAUCUGCUCUGCUCUACUCUAGUUCAACUCGCUGAUAUUUAGAAAACAGUGAGACCUACUUGAGCCUGACCCAGACUCUUACAUAGAAUGGUGAUCUGAGCACCUGUGGCUCUCAGCUGUCUUUGAUGUCAUUUAACUGCUGUUGACCACAGAGUGGGGAAACCUCCUUCUCGGGGUCACUUGCUGGGUCAAAGGUGAGGAAAGUGCAGGUCACUCAUCAUCCAGAUGAGACCUACCGUAUAUCUGAACAGCCUUGAUCUUGUUCUUUCCACAUACAGGGCUUGUGAUUCUUCCUGAUGGAGGAAGCCAUCCAUUCCUCCUGCUCAGAGCAGCUGCGUGGACCACCAUGGACCGCAGCAGAUGUCUGGUGCAGGAGUCUAAAAGCAAGGUCUGAAAGAAUGAGUUCCAGGCUCCUUUGGCUUCGUUUAAAGAGUAAUAAAUGACAAACUUACCUCAAAAGAGUGCUGUGAAAUCUGUGUCGGAGAUCGUGGACACAGAUUUCUAUGUCCCAACAUGCAAUCCCACCACAUUGUGCCCAGGAGCACCACAGUCAUGUGGUAGUCAUCCCUGCCCUCCAGGGACAAAGAAAUCCAGGUUCUG